UGCAGUCGAGCGGGCGUAGCAAUACGUCAGCGGCAGACGGGUGAGUAACGCGUGGGAACAUACCUUUUGGUUCGGAACAACACAGGGAAACUUGUGCUAAUACCGGAUAAGCCCUUACGGGGAAAGAUUUAUCGCCGAAAGAUUGGCCCGCGUCUGAUUAGCUAGUUGGUGAGGUAACGGCUCACCAAGGCGACGAUCAGUAGCUGGUCUGAGAGGAUGAUCAGCCACAUUGGGACUGAGACACGGCCCAAACUCCUACGGGAGGCAGCAGUGGGGAAUAUUGGACAAUGGGCGCAAGCCUGAUCCAGCCAUGCCGCGUGAGUGAUGAAGGCCCUAGGGUUGUAAAGCUCUUUUGUGCGGGAAGAUAAUGACGGUACCGCAAGAAUAAGCCCCGGCUAACUUCGUGCCAGCAGCCGCGGUAAUACGAAGGGGGCUAGCGUUGCUCGGAAUCACUGGGCGUAAAGGGUGCGUAGGCGGGUCUUUAAGUCAGGGGUGAAAUCCUGGAGCUCAACUCCAGAACUGCCUUUGAUACUGAAGAUCUUGAGUUCGGGAGAGGUGAGUGGAACUGCGAGUGUAGAGGUGAAAUUCGUAGAUAUUCGCAAGAACACCAGUGGCGAAGGCGGCUCACUGGCCCGAUACUGACGCUGAGGCACGAAAGCGUGGGGGAGCAAACAGGAUUAGAUACCCUGGUAGUCCACGCCGUAAACGAUGAAUGCCAGCCGUUAGUGGGUUUACUCACUAGUGGCGCAGCUACGCUUUAGGCAUUCGGCUGGGGGAGUACGGUCGCAAGAUAAACUCAAGGAUGACGGGGGCCCGCACAG
rnacentral:rRNA from 1 species